GUGGGGAAUUUUGGACAAUGGGGGCAACCCUGAUCCAGCCAUGCCGCGUGCGGGAAGAAGGCCUUCGGGUUGUAAACCGCUUUUGUCAGGGAAGAAAUCCUUUGGGUUAAUACCUCGGAGGGAUGACGGUACCUGAAGAAUAAGCACCGGCUAACUACGUGCCAGCAGCCGCGGUAAUACGUAGGGUGCGAGCGUUAAUCGGAAUUACUGGGCGUAAAGCGUGCGCAGGCGGUUUUGUAAGAUCGAUGUGAAAUCCCCGGGCUCAACCUGGGAACUGCAGUGGUGACUGCAAGGCUGGAGUGCGGCAGAGGGGGAUGGAAUUCCGCGUGUAGCAGUGAAAUGCGUAGAUAUGCGGAGGAACACCGAUGGCGAAGGCAAUCCCCUGGGCCUGCACUGACGCUCAUGCACGAAAGCGUGGGGAGCAAACAGGAUUAGAAACCCCAGUAGUCC
rnacentral:rRNA from 1 species